rnacentral:pre_miRNA from 1 species
AAGGGAAUAGCUGGGUCAAAUAGUGGUUCCAUUCCCAGAUUUCCAUGGAAUCUCCAUAUUGCUUUCCAAAUUGGCUGCACCAAUUUGUAGUCCCACCAGCAAU